GGAAACAAAAGUCACGUUCAAAAGGAGGCAGCAGAGAAAGGACAAGCAUCAGCCACUGCAAAAGCUGUUUAAACACGGCUAUCCUCGGUCAGUAGACAUACGAUGGAGCAAACUGUAUCGCACUUACAAUGCGCCACACAGGAAAAUGACCAUCUGUAUGCUAAAAGUGACCAUGAGAACCAGGCAAGACUGCACAAGUAAGCUUGAGAACUGCUCCAGCAGGGGGUCAGGAAGGUUGCACAGCGCCCAACUUUUUAUUUCAAAGCUGGCAUCUCAACUUUCCCCUUUAAUUCCUCCUCAGUAAUUUGUUUUACAUAACACUUUGGAAAUAGGUUCCCCAUCUUAUCAUUUCGUUGUAAUCUGACAAUUUAGUUUCCCACUGCAUCAUGCACCAUCUCCAAGUGAAUCUUGUUGGAGUACCAAGGUAACUCCAGCUGUCCAGGGACUCAUUUUUUGCUUUUUCUUUGGAAAUCAGGUUUUCCCGUUAAACCACUGCUCAGUUCACACGGGCACAAGACAGGAAAUAGGCAUAGGCCUGAACGCUGUGCGUGGUUAACAACUGAUUCUCCCAAGCUCCUGCAGUGGAAAGUUCAAUUUCCUAAACUAUUCACACACCGCUUAUCAUCCACAUCUGGCCUAGAAUCCUAUUCCCUUACUUCCACUGGUAGCUCUUAGCAUACGGAGAGGAAAAGGCAACUCCAGGAAGAAAAGUGGACUGCUUUCCAAGUGGUAUGAGUGUCUUCAGAUUCCAGAGAUUACACUGAGAUAGGUAAAGGGCCAGCAAUGCUGUUCAGGUGGCUAACGCCACAGCUGGCAGCAGAAACAAGCGCUAGGUCCCAGCAAUCCCCUCCUCACACCACAACUUACCCACGCUGCUGCCGACUGGCUCACUAUCUCCGCAUCAUCUGCAGAUACGAAACAGACUUUAUGUUUUGGGCAAGGACUUCUCAGCUCCAACAAACAUCUGAAAGCAGCUAACUCAGUCGUCUGAAGAACGGAAACCCCGAUCCUCUGAUUAAUCCUCACACCCUGGGGUCUGCCGUGACCACGGUGGCAGAUAGCAACACCGAGUCACAGCACGUGAGACCCUGCUGGCUAUAAAUACUUACCAGCUCCUGGAAGGAGGAGAUGGGUGCCCAGAGUCACACACGGCGUGGCGCUAAUUAGCCUCAGCACCACACCUCUAGGUCACAAGCACCUUGCUGCGUGCCUGAGAGGAGCCCCGGCCCUGCCCGCAUCCCCCCUGCUCCACCCAGCUCUCGGCAAACGAGGGCCAUAUGGAGACAGCUAAUAAAUCAAUGUUUGCUGCGAGAUUUGAGGAAGCAGCAAAGAUAAGAGGGCACCAAUUGCCCACAGCUCUGAAUGGCAUGACUGGAAAGGAACAAAGCUGUCCCAGGCACAGUAACCAAGAUUAGGCUGCAGCAGAACACAAAGCACUGCAAGACGUAAGAUUGUCCGUCCCCGUAGAGAGUUGCAUUUCUGUGAACCUUCAGAUUUCAGCUCCUCAGACAUCGUAAGGAUGGCAGCAAAAGCACAAGACUGCUCUUUUUGACAAGGCCAGAAUUAUAGCCCCAUAGUAGUCCUGGAUGGCUCUUCAAAAGCUCAGGAGCAAAGAGCUUUCAAAUUAUAGAACGGAAAAAAAGCAAAGGAACUCGCAGAACAUACUAACAGAGAGAAACCUCCCUGCCUGGCCCCUUUCCAGAAAAGACAAGAAUCACCUACUUAUGGCAGAAAACCCCCUCUCCCCCAGCCCCCUGGGACGAGCAGAAACAUCCUGCGAGCAGCAGAAGUAUGAAGCUGUUUCCUGUGAUGACAUCCUGUGUGAAUUCUGCAACGUAUAAUGCGGGGCGAGUUUGUUGGCUUUGCCUCUAGCUGGGACGCUGACGGCCUCUACCCUGACGCUGAUUUUCCACGAAAUGCACAGGAAUUUAGUACGUUGGAAACUUCAACCCGAGACAAAUUCCAUUAAAAAGAAAAAAAUAAAAAAUCCAGAGGUUACAGAGGGAGAGCGCGAGCGCCCAAUCACAUCCGUGUCUUCCCUUAGAAAAACAAACUGGAAAUACCACGAGGAUGGUUUUUGACUCUGGAGCAGCUCAAGAGCUGUUCCCAAACAAUGCUUUCCCCGUUCUGAGGUCACACAGCAUUCGCACGUUGUCUUAACGAAGAAACACCCUUCGAGCCGCCCAGUCGGACGCGUUUUUGUAUUCUGGAAGACACGACACCAACAAACAACCACAACAUGGCACAGCAGUUUUCAGAAUUCACAGCAACACACACCACAUACAGAUCCUACUGCUAAAUACAGCCACGCCAGCAGAGAAGACCGUAAGGCAGCUACCACCUUCAGCAACACAUUCUUUGCUUUUUAUGGAUUUCACACACAAACUAAGCGCUCCUCGUAAAUGUAGUGGAUGAAUAAUUCAGCACGGGUACUGUGACAUCCUGAGGAGCCGGGAUAAGGCCGUACAACCCGAAUUCAUUUCAUUUACCAAGACCAGCUCAAGUCCAUCUUCUUCCCAGCUGAGAGAAGUGUGUCCUCACGCAGCACAUCUGCUCUUCCUAAUGCAAAACAGCCCUUAUUUGUUCAGCUCAAAAGCCUGACAAGCUCAGAGGCAGAACAGUCUUUGUUUAUUUGCGAGACUCUCACUUCCUCUCCGUCCACAAAAGCCAAGAAACAUCACAAUGUUUUUACGGCUCGUCCUACGACACAGAUGUAUCAACAGGGCUUACCUACCCGAAGGGGGAUUCAAGUGAAACAGUUCUCGUAACUCAUCUCUCUCCACAGAGCAAAUGACAACUGCAGAACAUCCAUUCUGUACCUUAAGCACCAGAGAAUGAAAUAUUCACAGCUUACUCUGAAGCAUGUGCCUCUACAGAGAUUUAACACACAACAUUUCCAUGCAGAUCUCCAACCCAGGGCGCUGGCGGGGAAAUACACCUUGCAGCUCAGAGAUCACCCAGCUCUGAAGUCCCCGGGGAGGUAAAAGGGACCUAAACACAAACGUCACUUGCACUUGAUCACAUCUGCUUCCCCACUGCCAGUAACACCACCGAGAAGCCAAUUCAUAAAGCCAGCUCAGACAAAACGUCUGAUUUCUGGCAGCACUGUUCAAAGACUAAAGCCAGCAAGAGAUUCUCCCUUUUCAUUGUUUUUGCUUUAAAUUAUUUGGCAUUAACUAGAGCUCGAGAAGUAGCACCGCAUUCUGGAGGCUGAGGCCUUGGGAUGAGCACAUCUGGAAGACGUCAGACACUACUAGCUCAAGAUACACC